UGAUGAGAGCACCCUGCGAUCUGGUGGAAGGGAAGAAGAGUCUUGACACCGUAAAUCCGGAUCCGUUUCACUGAACAACACAACUUAAAACUCGUGCCUGGGGCAUCUCCUCUGGGGGACUGACUGCUUCAUAGUCACGCAGUGGAAUCGACAGUGUAUUUUACUGAGCAAGCUGGUUUAAAGAGCACAUCAAGAGGAAAUGACUAAUGGCAGUGACAACAGAGAAGUUUUUAAAAAAAAAUAAAAAGAAAAAAAAAGUGACGGGAGAAACAUGGUUUUGUUGUGAUCCAGCCUCCCAUGAGAAGAGUCAUCAUGCCUUCCCUUUCACCUCUGCACCAUGUGAAACCUACAUCCAUCGCUAGAUUCAUAAAUUGUAUGCUUAAGGCAGGCACUGUUCAAUUAAAAAAAAAAAAAACAAGUUACCUAACUUAGAAGAGAGUCUAGGUUAUUAAAGGAGUUACAAAACAUGCAUUUGGCCUGUGUUUCACAAAAUGAUGUUCUUUACUUUUCACCUGGGAUAAUUAAAUCCAGUGAGUAGCCAGUCCUUAAAAUCAAUUUUGGUUUCAGGUUCUCAUACCCUUGCAAAAAAAUUCUCAUGAAUAAACAACAGGUGCAUUGUGAAACAUGAUAUGCCGGCCAACAAGUAUAAUUCAAUAGCAUUCAUUAUUUACCAAAUCACACCAUUUAAAGAGAAGACAGAUGCCUUACAUAGCAUAGUGACUGUUACAGUCUUAGAGCACACUGACAAAGUAAGCUCGAUAUUUUUUCCAGGCUUGAAGAGAUACUACAGUUUAUAAGAAUACACUCUUUAUGAAUUUCAGAAUUUUAAGAAAUGGUCAUGUUUCCUGAGGACUUCAUAAGUGUCAGUGUGCACUAUUAUCUACACAUGCCAUUUUCUUUUAAAAGAAAGGCAGUAUGUAUCAUAGGAACUAGGAACACAUAGGAAGGAUGUUCAAUAUCAAAGUGCUCCAGAAGAGAGCAGAACCAUGUAUGCUCCAAAUAAGAAUGAGGUAAUAUCUUUUAUUGGACCAGCUUCUGUCGGUGAGAGAGACAAGCUUUCAAGCCACAUGGAGUUCAACAGAAGUUGGUCCAAUAAAAAUAUUACCUCCCCAGCUUAUCUCUACUAUCCUGGGACUGGCAGGGCUACAACUACAGUGCAUACCCCAAAUAAGAAUGACAUUCUCAGAGGAGCUUGAACUGAAAAUGUAUGUCAUUUCUCUUAAAUCCCUUGCUUCUUACUGCAAGGUUGCUCUAUUCACAGAACAUGUUUAAGCGUUCACUUCAGGAUAUCACUGUAGUUGCAAGACAUAUGAUUUAAUACAGUAAAAUCAUGAUUGUCCAAACCUCCCUUUUCUAAGGAACUGCCAGGCUAUCCCUCUGUUCUAUGGCUCCCUAUUAUGCUACUGGUUCUCCCAGUAUAACUCACGUAAUCAAGUUUUAUGGGUUUAUUAUGUAAAUCAUCCAACACAGGCUUUUAAUUUUUAAUCAACCCACUAUCGUUAAACAUUUGUAAGUUUAUCAGCUGCGACCUCUAGAGGGGGCCCUGAGCUUCGCGUUUGGAAGCUCUGUUUAGGCUCACAGAAAGUCAGUGAUGUUCCUUUCUUCAAUCUGAAUUCAGAAUCCCACAAGGAGUGGGAGAGAUGCUAUCUUGGAGUUCCCCAAGUUCUGAGACACCUUGUUACCCCUGUCUCAGCAAGAGGGGGACUUGCUUGCACUUAGCUCCCUGAUACUAGCAGUCUGUCAGCCAUCGAAACUAUCUCCACAGAACUCCGCCAGCCCUUACUUUGCCUUGCAGGUUAACAAUAAGUGCACCCCAUUCCUUGAACCCCUCUGAAAGUGUCCCGCUAUAGUAUCCAGCCCAUCAUACACACACAGAAAUUACCAGGUAAACUGUUCCCAGAGAGACUUUGUACAAUACAUGUCUGACACAACUCAGCAUCAGGUCUUUUAUAACAUUACAGCACUGAAAUAUAUUUAUAGUGGAAUACUCAUAAAUUUAUUACCAAAGGUUUAAGUUUUAAGAGACAGCAAGUAAGGAUAAUAAGUGGAAACAGAAAUGGUUACAAAUAUAAAACAAAACUUGUAAUGCAAUCCUAGCCCUACACUUAACAGGAUUGUUUCCUAAUUGAUAAAGGAGAUGUUCUGCUAAGAAUUCAGUCCUUGACAAAGCUGUUGAUUUCCAGUCAAAGUUAGGAUCUAAGCUUCCAUGAACGGAUCACCCCACACCCUUCAAAGGGUUUCCCCUUUGUCUUACUUGUCUUCCAAUUAUAGUUCAGUAAACCUUUGAAA